AAUCAACGCUGGCGGCGUGCCUAACACAUGCAAGUCGCACGAGAAAGGGGAGCAAUCCCUGAGUAAAGUGGCGCACGGGUGAGUAACACGUGAAUCAUCUACCUCCGAGUGGGGAAUAACUGAGAGAAAUCUUAGCUAAUACCGCAUAACACUUACGAGUCAAAGCAGCAAUGCGCUUGGAGAGGAGUUCGCGGCCGAUUAGUUAGUUGGCGGGGUAANGGCCCGACCAAGACGAUGAUCGGUAUCCGGCCUGAGAGGGCGGCACGGACACACUGGAACU
rnacentral:rRNA from 1 species